rnacentral:tRNA from 1 species
GCCUGUGUGGCUCAGUGGAUAGAGCGUUAGUCUUCCGGACUGAAGGGUCCCAGGUUCCAGUUAAGGGCACAUGCCUGGGUUGCAGGCU